AUCCCGCCCCACAGCCCGCAGGACGCGGCAGACAGCUCUCCAGCGAAAAUGCCAAAGGUGCGGAGGAGCUGCGGCCGCUGUCUGUGGAUUGGCCAACGGCGUCGAGCUGCUCAACCUCGCACAGCAUACGGAGUGGCCGACAUAGGAGGGCGGAGCUCGAAUGGACGGUGGACAUGGGGACGGGGGAAUGGGGGCGGGGGAGCUAAAAAGGUGGGGGUGGGGGGCGAUGGGUUUGGAGGGGAGAUCGGGGGGGAUAUGGGGGGUGUGGGUCAAUGGGGGUUGAUGGGGGGGGAUAUGGGGGGAUAUGGAGGAUGUGCAAUGCAUGGAUGGAUAUGAGACGGGGGGGAUAUGUCGGGCAAGUGCCCCCUCUUCACCCCCCAUAUUCCCGUUGCAGUCCCUGACCCCGAGCUGGCCGCAGACCUGGAGGCGUGUGACGAGGCCAUGGCGGUGCUGGACGAGGUGAUCAAUGUCCACCUUCCAGCAGUCCGUGUACUACCUGACCAAGACCCUGUACUCUGCUCUCCCGUCCCUGCUGGACUCCAACCCGUUUGUGGGGGGCUCGGAGCCCAGCGUGGCCCCCGACGUGUCGUCCAUGCCGGAUGGGAUCCGGCCCACGCUGCUGGUGUUCCAGGCGGCGCUGGAGCUGAGCAGGCAGUGCCAGCUGCACCCGACCUCACGUCACAGACCUUCGCCGCGUACCUUUUCUUCUUCUCCAAUGCGUCCUGUUCAACGACGCUCACUGGAUGAGAGUGA
rnacentral:lncRNA from 1 species